ACAGCAGCUCACAAUGGAGGGGGCAAUUAACCAAAAAAAAAACCAAUAUCUUUUACACUAAAGGGAUACGGACAUUACAAUGUAACUGCUGUCUGUAGAAUACUCAGGGAACACAGCAGCUCACACUGGAGGGGGCAAUUAACCAAACCCCCCAAUAUCUUUUACACUAAAGGGAUACGGACAUUACAAUGUAACUGCUGUCUGUAGAAUACUCAGGGAACACAGCAGCUCACACUGGAGGGGGCAAUUAACCAAACCCCCCCCAAUAUCUUUUACACUAAAGGGAUACGGACAUUACAAUGUAACUGCUGUCUGUAGAAUACUCAGGGAACACAGCAGCUCACACUGGAGGGGGGCAAUUAACCAAACCCCCCCCCAAUAUCUUUUACACUAAAGGGAUA